AUUUGGGGUUAAGUCAUUCGGAGGUGGUGCUUUGAUGUUAGGUCGUGUUCGGUGUUUCUGUACAAGCAUUUUUUUUAAUCAAAGUUAUAUAUGUUCAAUUAUUUAAUUCAUGAAUAAGUUGUGGUUAUUUUGGUUCGUGUUUGUGUUGGUUUGCUUGUAUGCUUAUAUCUGGAAACUUUGUUUAUGUGUACAAAACAGAUUUACUCUGUUUUUCGUGAAUAAAACAUAGCUCUUUCUUGUUUCAUUAGUUGUAUAGUUUUGAUCAAAAGCAUAGUAUCCUGCAAUAAAUUAACAAAAAACAUAAUAAUUUUCAACAGAUCCACCAUACAAUGUCUAUUUUUCUAAGUUUUGAAAAACGUAGUUGAUGUUGCCAUUGAAAGAGACGAUGUUGGCGAUACACGAGAAAAUAUACCAUGCACAAAAAAGAAGAAAUGAUAAUAUAUAAUAAUUUUAAAAUAGAUAGACAUAUAUAUAUUGGAUAGUUUAGUCAAUUUACAUAUACACAAGUGUAGUUUAAAAAAUAAAUAAAUAAUAGUGUAGUUUUCAAAUUAAAAUCUUAUUGAUGUAUUUUUCCAAAUUUUCCGUAUUAUUUAUUUGUGUUCAUUUACGUAUUAUUUAUAUAAUUAAAUUAGAGUAAACACAUAAAU
rnacentral:lncRNA from 1 species